GACGAACGCUGGCGGCGUGCUUAACACAUGCAAGUCGAACGGAAAGGCCCUGCUUUUGUGGGGUGCUCGAGUGGCGAACGGGUGAGUAACACGUGAGUAACCUGCCCUUGACUUUGGGAUAACUUCAGGAAACUGGGGCUAAUACCGGAUAGGAGCUCCUGCUGCAUGGUGGGGGUUGGAAAGUUGCGGCGGUUGGGGCUGGACUCGCGGCUUAUGAGCUUGUUGGUUGGGUAGGGGCUUACCAAGGGUGUGACGGGUAGCCGGCAUGAGAGGGUGACCGGCGACAUUGGGACUGCGAUACGGCCCAGAGUCCUACGGUGGGCAGCAGUGGGGAAUAUUGCACAAUGGGCCGAAGCGUGAUGCAGCAACGCCGCGUGCGGGAUGACGGCCUUCGGGUUGUAAACCGCUUUAGCCUGUGACGAAGCGGGAGUGACGGUAAUGGGUAAAGAAGCACCGGCUAACUACGUG
rnacentral:rRNA from 1 species